rnacentral:rRNA from 1 species
UCACGCCCACCACCGGGAACUGAGAACCGUCCAGAUCCUACGGAAGCAGCAUGGGGAAUUUGACAAUGGGGCAAUCUGAUCCCAGCAUGCGCGUGCGGGAAGAAGCUUCGGGUUGUAACCGCUUUUAGUCGGGAAGAAAAGGCAAGGGCUACACUCUGUUCUGACGGUACCGGCGGAAUAAGCACCGGCUAACUACGUGCCAGCAGCCGCGGUAAUACGUAGGGUGCGAGCGUUAAUCGGAAAUUACUGGGCGUAAAGCGUGCGCAGGCGGUUCGUUAAGUUCGAUGUGAAAGCCCCGGGCUCAACCUGGGAACUGCAUUGGAAACUGGCGAGCUUGAGUGUGGCAGAGGGGGGUGGAAUUCCGCGUGUAGUAGUGAAAUGCGUAGAGAUGCGGAGGAACACCGAUGGCGAAGGCAGCCCCCUGGGCCAACACUGACGCUCAGGCACGAAAGCGUGGGGAGCAAACAGGAUUAGAUACCCUGGUAGUCCACGCCCUAAACGAUGCUCACUAGGUGUUGGGGAAGCGAUUCCUUGGUACCGUAGCUAACGCGUGAAGUGAGCCGCCUGGGGAGUACGGCCGCAAGGUUAAAACUCAAAGGAAUUGACGGGGACCCGCACAAGCGGUGGAUGAUGUGGAUUAAUUCGAUGCAACGCGAACAACCUUACCUACCC